rnacentral:tRNA from 9 species
UGGGACGUCGCCAAGCGGUAAGGCAGCGGAUUUUGAUUCCGCCAUGCGGAGGUUCGAAUCCUCCCGUCCCAGCCA